rnacentral:rRNA from 1 species
UACGUAGGGUGCGAGCGUUGUCCGGAAUUAUUGGGCGUAAAGGGCUCGUAGGUGGUUUGUCGCGUUGUUCGUGAAAAACUCACAGCUUAACUGUGGGCGUGCGGGCGAUACGGGCAGACUGGAGUACUGCAGGGGAGACUGGAAUUCCUGGUGUAGCGGUGGAAUGCGCAGAUAUCAGGAGGAACACCGGUGGCGAAGGCGGGUCUCUGGGCAGUAACUGACGCUGAGGAGCGAAAGCGUGGGGAGCGAACAGG